rnacentral:rRNA from 1 species
GAUGAACGCUGGCGGCGUGCCUAAUACAUGCAAGUCGAGCGAACGGACGAGAAGCUUGCUUCUCUGAUGUUAGCGGCGGACGGGUGAGUAACACGUGGAUAACCUACCUAUAAGACUGGGAUAACUUCGGGAAACCGGAUCUAAUACCGGAUAAUAUUUUGAACCGCAUGGUUCAAAAGUGAAAGACGUUCUUGCUGUCACUUAUAGAUGGAUCCGCGCUGCAUUAGCUAGUUGGUAAGGUAACGGCUUACCAAGGCAACGAUGCAUAGCCGACCUGAGAGGGUGAUCGGCCACACUGGAACUGAGACACGGUCCAGACUCCUACGGGAGGCAGCAGUAGGGAAUCUUCCGCAAUGGGCGAAAGCCUGACGGAGCAACGCCGCGUGAGUGAUGAAGGUCUUCGGAUCGUAAAACUCUGUUAUUAGGGAAGAACAUAUGUGUAAGUAACUGUGCACAUCUUGACGGUACCUAAUCAGAAAGCCACGGCUAACUACGUG